AAUCUGCCCUUCACUCUGGGACAAGCCCUGGAAACGGGGUCUAAUACCGGAUAACACUGCGGAUCGCAUGGUCUGCGGUUGAAAGCUCCGGCGGUGAAGGAUGAGCCCGCGGCCUAUCAGCUUGUUGGUGGGGUGAUGGCCUACCAAGGCGACGACGGGUAGCCGGCCUGAGAGGGCGACCGGCCACACUGGGACUGAGACACGGCCCAGACUCCUACGGGAGGCAGCAGUGGGGAAUAUUGCACAAUGGGCGAAAGCCUGAUGCAGCGACGCCGCGUGAGGGAUGACGGCCUUCGGGUUGUAAACCUCUUUCAGCAGGGAAGAAGCGAAAGUGACGGUACCUGCAGAAGAAGCGCCGGCUAACUACGUGCCAGCAGCCGCGGUAAUACGUAGGGCGCAAGCGUUGUCCGGAAUUAUUGGGCGUAAAGAGCUCGUAGGCGGCUUGUCGCGUCGGAUGUGAAAGCCCGGGGCUUAACCCCGGGUCUGCAUUCGAUACGGGCAGGCUAGAGUGUGGUAGGGGAGAUCGGAAUUCCUGGUGUAGCGGUGAAAUGCGCAGAUAUCAGGAGGAACACCGGUGGCGAAGGCGGAUCUCUGGGCCAUUACUGACGCUGAGGAGCGAAAGCGUGGGGAGCGAACAGGAUUAGAUACCCUGGUAGUCCACGCCGUAAACGUUGGGAACUAGGUGUUGG
rnacentral:rRNA from 1 species